GCAGGGAUUAGCAGAUGGAGGCUUGCCGCAUUUCGAUGCGGAGUGCGUUGGUUCGAUUCCGACCCCUGCCCCA
rnacentral:tRNA from 1 species